AUGAACGCUGGCGGCGUGCCUAAUACAUGCAAGUCGAGCGGUCCGCAAGGAUAGUGGCGAACGGGUGAGUAACGCGUUGGUGACCUGCCCUGAAGAGGGGGAUACCGGAUCGAAAGGUCCGCUAAUACCGCAUAAUGUCUCGCUAGUUAGAGAGGCGAGAAGAAAGCCGAAAGGCGCUUUAGGAGGGACCUGCGUCCCAUCAGCUAGUUGGUAGGGUAGUGGCCUACCAAGGCGAUGACGGGUAGGGGACCUGAGAGGGUGGCCCCCCACAAUGGAACUGAAACACGGUCCAUACACCUACGGGUGGCAGCAGUAGGGAAUAUUGGUUAAUGGGCGAAAGCCUGACCCAGCAACGCCGCGUGAACGAUGAAGGCCUUCGGGUCGUAAAGUUCUUUUUACAGGGAUGAGGAAGGACAGUACCUGUAGAAUAAGUCUCGGCUAACUACGU
rnacentral:rRNA from 1 species